rnacentral:rRNA from 1 species
UGCCAGCCGCCGCGGUAACACGGGGGGCGCAAGCGUUAUUCGGAAUUAUUGGGCGUAAAGCGCGCGUAGGUGGUCUGUUAAGUCAGCUGUGAAAGCCCUGGGCUUAACCUGGGAACUGCAGUUGAUACUGGCAGGCUAGAGUACGAGAGAGGGAGGUAGAAUUCCAUGUGUAGCGGUGAAAUGCGUAGAUAUAUGGAGGAAUACCAGUGGCGAAGGCGGCCUCCUGGCUCGAUACUGACGCUGAGGUGCGAAAGCGUGGGUAGCGAACGGGAUUAGAUA